UCUGUCUUGAUAGAGAAAGUACUAAGAGAGUUUUUUUUACCUUCUUUCAUCUUCUUCUUGUUUCUUGCUCUGCAGACUGCACCUAUCAUCACCUUGUUGGUCCAGUUUUAGUUCAUUUUCAGGGAAGGAAGAAUAGAGAAAUGAAAUGGGGAAAGAUUGAUCUGCCUGGCUCCCUGGAUGCCAACUAAGAAACUUUGUCAAUGGAAAUUGACACUUUCUAGUUGGCAUCAGAGGAGUCAAGCAGGUCUUCUUACUCUUCCUUACAUGCUCAUCAAAGCAGCAGAAAUCAACUGUAACAAGGGACAUCAAGAAACUUUUACCAGAGAUCAAAGGAAGUUGUGAGUAAAAAU